CUCAGUUCGGAUCGGAGUCUGCAACCCGACUCCGUGAAGCUGGAUUCGCUAGUAAUCGCGAAUCAGAAUGUCGCGGUGAAUACGUUCCCGGGUCUUGUACACACCGCCCGUCACACCAUGGGAGAUGGAUAUGCCCGAAGUCAGUGACCUAACCGAAAGGGAGGAGCUGCCGAAGGCGGGACAGGUAACUGGGGUGAAGUCGUAACAAGGUAUC
rnacentral:rRNA from 1 species